UACAGAGGGUGCGAGCGUUAAUCGGAUUUACUGGGCGUAAAGCGUGCGUAGGCGGCUUUUUAAGUCGGAUGUGAAAUCCCCGAGCUUAACUUGGGAAUUGCAUUCGAUACUAGCAGACUAGAGGAUGGUAGAGGGAGGUGGAAUUCCGGGUGUAGUGGUGAAAUGCGUAGAUAUCCGGAGGAACACCGGUGGCGAAGGCGGCCCCCUGGACAAAGACUGACGCUCAGGUGCGAAAGCGUGGGGAGCAAACAGG
rnacentral:misc_RNA from 1 species